UACGAAGGGGGCUAGCGUUGCUCGGAAUCACUGGGCGUAAAGGGUGCGUAGGCGGGUCUUUAAGUCAGGGGUGAAAUCCUGGAGCUCAACUCCAGAACUGCCUUUGAUACUGAAGAUCUUGAGUUCGGGAGAGGUGAGUGGAACUGCGAGUGUAGAGGUGAAAUUCGUAGAUAUUCGCAAGAACACCAGUGGCGAAGGCGGCUCACUGGCCCGACACUGAUGCUGAGGCACGGAAGCGUGGGGAGCAAACAGG
rnacentral:rRNA from 1 species